rnacentral:rRNA from 1 species
GACGAACGCUGGCGGCGUGCUUAACACAUGCAAGUCGAACGGAAAGGCCCUGCUUUUGUGGGGUGCUCGAGUGGCGAACGGGUGAGUAACACGUGAGUAACCUGCCCUUGACUUUGGGAUAACUUCAGGAAACUGGGGCUAAUACCGGAUAGGAGCUCCUGCUGCAUGGUGGGGGUUGGAAAGUUUCGGCGGUUGGGGAUGGACUCGCGGCUUGUCAGCUUGUUGGUGGGGUAGUGGCUUACCAAGGCUUUGACGGGUAGCCGGCCUGAGAGGGUGACCGGCCACAUUGGGACUGAGAUACGGCCCAGACUCCUACGGGAGGCAGCGGUGGGGAAUAUUGCACAAUGGGCGGAAGCCUGAUGCAGCAACGCCGCGUGCGGGAUGACGGCCUUCGGGUUGUAAACCGCUUUCGCCUGUGACGAAGCGUGAGUGACGGUAAUGGGUAAAGAAGCACCGGCUAACUACGUG